UACGUAGGGGGCUAGCGUUGUCCGGAAUCAUUGGGCGUAAAGCGCGUGUAGGCGGUCCGGUAAGUCCGCUGUGAAAGUCGGGGGCUCAACCCUCGAAUGCCGGUGGAUACUGUCGGGCUUGAGUACGGGAGAGGCGAGUGGAAUUCCUGGUGUGGCGGUGAAAUGCGCAGAUAUCAGGAGGAACACCGAUUGCGAAGGCAGCUCGCUGGAACGUUACUGACGCUGAGACGCGAAAGCGUGGGGAGCAAACAGG
rnacentral:rRNA from 1 species